AUCGCCGCUGCCGCCACCGCCGCCUCUCACGUUCCUGUUCUCUCUUUCCCCAUCAUCGCUGCCGCCACCGCCACCCCCACACCCUCAAUAUUCUUCUUCUUGCUCCAUAUUUUUUCCCCUCAAUGGAGACCAAGGAAAGAGAGAUCAUUCUUUGCUAGGAAUCGCCAUUACUGUGUCUUUUAUUACAUGGAUUUCAUUCUUGGCCAUAUCUUUUCUUCCAUCGAUCCAUUGUUGUCCUUUUUUCCUUUGACCUUAUCCCAUAUUUUCCUGCUAAAAGUUUUGGGAUGGAGUUUUCAUUAGCUAGGGUUUAUUUAUUUGGAAGACAUUGACAUAAGGAAUCUCUGAAGCUCUUCCCUUUUAAUUUUCUGUUCUUGACGAUAUUCCGGACCAUAGUUCUUCCUCUUCUUUUUUUUUUCCUCCUCUUAUUCCACAUGUUUUUAUCUCUCUCUUUUUUUUGGCGAACUUUUAUUUCCAUCUUCAGAGGGCCAAAUAUUUCACUCUAGAAGGUUUGUCAAAUGAUCCGCAAGCAGCUGCCCACAGUCAUUUGUUUGCAGGUGCAGCAUCAUCAAGAUUCACACACGAUUUCACGGCAUAGACAUGAAUUUCGCCGACAGAGGUUUAGUAUUGAGAAUCUUGAUGAUGCUGCAUCAGCAAUCAAUGACUAGUAUCCCAUUAUCCACAGCCUUUAAUAUAUUGAGCAUUUGAAGAAGUGUGUAUACAUGUCUAAUCUCAGGGUCUUUUCUUCACUUCUGGAUAUAAAAGGUCCCAUAGGACUGUAACUAUGUGUUUAUUUUUCUCUUCCUUUUCAUUUUAAAAUUAUUAAUUGAAAUAGUGGGAUGUUUUGUGCAUACACCAAUUAAUUGCAGCAACGCCAAAGCAGCUAGCAUGUGUAUACACAGAAGGAGGAAGUGCUCAGCCAUCAAGUGAUACUGAAGUUUCUUUGGCAUAAAAGGAGAUUAGCAUGCCAUGUCGUCGGAGUACCUUCUUUUAGCCGGUACAAUCAGGCGAGCUUCUUUCUCUCCCUCGUCCAGUCCAAGGCCGUCUGUCCGUCCGAUCACGCCAGAAAGUAGGAUGUUUGUGAGAAAUUUCUUCCUCGAGACUCAGAAGUCGGGCUGUAGCUUUUGUUAUUGUAAUAAGAUUAAUUCACGCAGUGUUCUCUUGGGUCGAACAAUUCAACAGCAGGUCUUCUAUAUGUCUUUUGACAAAGUUCCUAUCACGCAUCUCAUCUAAUAAUAUCAUUGCAGGUAAAACUAUUAUUUACAGAUGGAAUUUAGUAUCAGAUGUGAAAAAAAUGGUCCUCUCCUGCUACAUCUCCAUGGUUCCGCACUGGAAGCUGCUCAUCUCCAAGAGUAUAUUUGCAAUCAAUUUGCCACGUCCUAAUCGUGUUGCAUCACUUUCUCUUUUCCCUGAACUGUACCUUUCUGAAAACCCUCCAAACGAAGAGCAAGCAGGACAGAAUUCUCUUAUCAUUUCCAUGCAUACGUAUAAGUAGGUCAUAGACGAGAAGGGUUUUACAUUAGGGGCAGGGACAGAUUGAUCGAACUAUCAUGAACAAGUAUUCGAUCCAGAUUGACAAGGAGGCCGGGCUGUUAGACUGCUCGAGUUCUUUGGAUUGCAUCCUACAAUGCAAGUGUUUCCUACGUUUCGCCUAAAUUGUUAAUCAUGCACGAUCAGCAGAAAGAUUGAUCAACAGUAUUAUACGCGUGUUUAAUACAUGUCACUUCUCUUAAACAAGUGUAGCCACAUUGUCGGCAACUCGGUCAACACACGUCGGAUGUCUUUUUACGGUA